UUAUCUGUAAGGUAUAUCCUUACCUGUUGCCAUUUAAGCAGCAGAAAAUGAUGAAUGGUUUUAAUGAGUCAGUGAUUAACUAACUCCCACCCUGGGGAACUAACAACCCCCCAGGACCGUUCUGAU